AUCUAGCUGACGAGUCCCAAAUAGGAUGAAACACGUGUCCUCGAU
rfam:Schistosoma curassoni strain Dakar, Senegal genome assembly, scaffold: SCTD_scaffold0002443